rnacentral:rRNA from 1 species
GACGAACGCUGGCGGCGUGCUUAACACAUGCAAGUCGAACGGAAAGGCCCCUUUGGGGGUACUCGAGUGGCGAACGGGUGAGUAACACGUGAGUAACCUGCCCUUGACUUCGGGAUAACUUCAGGAAACUGGGGCUAAUACCGGAUAGGAAUCCUUGCUGCAUGGUGGGGGUUGGAAAGCUUCGGCGGUUUUGGAUGGACUCACGGCUUAUCAGCUUGUUGGUGGGGUAGUGGCUUACCAAGGCUUUGACGGGUAGCCGGCCUGAGAGGGCGACCGGCCACAGUGGGACUGAGAUACGGCCCAGACUCCUACGGGAGGCAGCAGUGGGGAAUAUUGCACAAUGGGCGGAAGCCUGAUGCAGCAACGCCGCGUGCGGGAUGACGGCCUUCGGGUUGUAAACCGCUUUCAGCAGGGGCGAAGCUUGUGGUGACGGUACCUGCAGAAGAAGCACCGGCUAACUACGUG